rnacentral:lncRNA from 1 species
AUGCUCAUGCUCUGGUCUUCGAGACUGUGGGGGAGCUCAGCACUUUUCGAAGUGCCUGGAAGACUGGCCUUCCAGAACCCUCCUUAGAAUUUGUUCUCCCCUGCCUCCUCUGAUGUCCUGUCAUUGGCAUCAUCGGUGUUCCCAAGGUGUCCAGUGGCGCAGCUCGAGACAAACCCGAGCAGUGAGCUGAUGGCCACGUGCUCUGCAGAGUGACUUCAUCGGCGGGCAAGGUCUGAAGAGGAGUCACUUUGGCGGCUCCGGUUCCCGUCGCUAUGACUCCUCACUAGAGACACUAAGAGGCACGUGGGCUGGGAGGGCACAGACCGCGCGGGCUGUUUCUGUCAACCGAGCCACAGAAGGGAACCACACGGCCCCAAGGCUGACCUCAGCCGACCACAGGGGCCAGCUCUCAGGAGGGACCGUGGGGACAGCAGGAGCUGGGUUUCCGCUUUCUCACAGGAAGGCUCAGUUGAUCUCCUGGGGACCCACAGGGGCCUUGCUGAGCGGGGGUGACUCAGCUUCCUCUGUGCCCCGGCGAAGCAGGAGGACCCUGGCAACCCGGGGCUCCUUUCGCCUUCUCUGUUGACCAGAAGGUUUUUUGAAAAAACCAGUUUGUGUUUCACAUUUCAGCAGCAUUUGUCACUUUACAACAAUCGUUUUCUCAGACAUUGGUUCAUCCAGUGUUCACAGCAGUCCUGAGACUUUAGGGAAGCCAUUGUCCUCACUGCUACGUCUAUAAGGAAGGUGAGACUCAGCCAGAGAAGGGGAUUGGCUGAGGCCAUGUGGCUUAUGGGCGGAGAGUUCAUGCUUGAGCCCAGGAGUCUAGAAUACUCAUUGAGGACCUUAUUUCACUUUCUUGGGUGGCACUCAGCUUAUAGCCCUUAUCAUGUGCUCAUUAUGUGUACAAUGGUUGUUGAUUGAAUGGUUGAUUGUAAUUUUCAUCCAUGGUGAGAUGGAUCCUUUGGGCUCUAAGCAAGUUACCAUGGGGGUAGUGGGAAGGACAUGGGCCUUGGAGAGACAGUUCAGGUUCAAGUUACACAAGACUCACGUUAGCUACGUGCUUUUAGGUAAGGUACAAAUUCUUAAGCUGCAGUUUCCUCUGCACACAGAGGAUAAUGGUAGUUUUGCAGGGCAGCUCUAAGAUUGAAAUGAGAUAAAAUGGAUCAAGGGAUGGCACAGUGUUUGCUGCAUAGAAAGUGUGUAGCAAUGCACUUUUCCAUUGCUUAGCUUCAGAAACUCAUGAGAGUUAAACAAAUCCUGCAGAUAUUUUCAUUACAUACAGAACAAUGCCUUUGCUUAGUAAUCUUUGAGAAGUUAAGGACACACAUGUACAAAGCAAAUGAAUUCUGGUCCUGGUUCAUUAAGUCACUAUAAUUGAGAAAUGAGGUAUCCCUUAUAUGUGAAUUUCCCAGCUCAGUACCCCCAGUUCUGGGUUCCAAGAUUUGUCACCCUUUCUUUUGACUUAUUUUAGGAGGAUAACAUGUCUAGCCUUGUGAAUCCUUUGCACUAACCAUUCUCUGUUUCGUGUUUCUUGCUUCUCACUGGAUGAUUUGACUUUCAUUGCCCUUUGCUCUUAUUAACUGCAAGGAGUCACAGAGACACUUGUCAUGGUGAGGAAGUGGCAUGGGGUCUGAGAUUUUAGACUUGGAAAUAAUGCUUCUAUUUCAAGAAAAUGCGUAAGCAAUCAUGAUGCAAUUUCUUUAAAAAAUGCCCUUGAUUUCAGAGUUCCUCAUCAUGGCUCAGGGGAAACGAAUCUGACUAGCAUCCAUGAGGAUGCAGGUUUGAUCCCUGGACUCACUCGGUGGGUUAAGGAUCCGCCAGUGUUGUGAGCUGUGGUGUAGGUUGCAGAUGUGGCUCGGAUCCCACAUUGCUGUGGCUGUGGUGUAGGCCAGCGACCACAGCUCCUAUUAGACUCCUAGCCUGGGAACCUCCAUAUGCCAAGGGUGCAGCCCUAAAAGCCCCCCCGCCAAAAAAAAAAUGCCGUUGAUUUCACCAAUUGGAUGUUUUCCAUGAUUUAAUUUUUCUUUGAAGUUGAGUACGUGUCCAGGUGAGGUUGAACCUAUUGGUGUUGACGCAUUAGAUUUCGCAUUCUUAUAGCCAGGAAUGACGUUUCAGUCAUCACCAUGGAUCCAGGGCCAGGAGCAUCCUAGAUUCUCAAUGGAUGCUUCCUGAAUGAGCAAGUGUCAGGCGUUCAUUCAUUUAUUCUACAGAAAGAGGCUGUGGACCGUCCCAAGUUAUUUUCCAGGUGGGCAGGACCAUCUGCCGCUUUUAGGAGCUCACGGCAGGCAUGCUAUUCAAGGAGACCAGCCUGAGAGGGGAGUGUGACUCCCCACAGAGGAGAGACUGGGUCAGGGCAUGAGAUCAGGCAGAGAAGGGGGCAAGCAGAGGGCACCGUGGUCCAAGGCAGAGUGCUCAAGGGGUGGCUGCGAUGAAUCAAGCCUCCUCUCUGGGUGUUGGUUGUGUGAUAUCAGAGAGGGACCCGCUGUCUCGAACAGCCCCACCAAUUGCUAGCAUGGAGAGCCUGGCAAGGAGGGUGGCCUCUGGCCAAUCAAGACAAGUCUCACAGGACAAAUACAUCCCACGUCACACCUAGGCUGGGGGCCGGUGUGAUGAGCGUCUGCAGAGAACUAGGGAUUUUGUGAUCUUUUCUGCUAAUGGGGACUUUCAACGUGAAGCAGCCUCUGCUGGACGGAGCACGAAGGGCGUAAUCACUUCUGGGGAGAGGCUGACUUUGUGGUUUAGUGACCCUUUCCAGGGCCUCCUUCACUAUUCUUUCUUGAUAAAGAGGAUUGUAAUAAUUCAAAAUAGUUGGAGUUUUUCUUUUCAGAGUUACACUGUGGAGAGGAAGUGGGAGAGUAUGUUUGAAGGCAUAGCCAUGAUCUAUAGAGGUGUUUACUUUUUGUUUCUUUAGGACAUUUUACUGAGCACCUGUCCUGUGCUGGUCUUGAGUUGGGCAUGGCAUGCAAAGAUGGUCAAAGAUCUGCCCCUUCACUUUAAGGAUCUCCCAGUAGUGGAAGAAAGUGAUUCAUAAGGAAUGACAAUGCAUCCUGAUGAGUACUGAGGGGAGACAGAUGAAAGAGGGCAGAGGAAGGAGUGAUUAAUUAUGCUGUUAGCAGUCAGGGAAGCCUCACAAAAGAUGUGAGGGGUUUUUAGGGAUGAAUAGGAGUUUUUGGGUGGAGAAGAAGAAAGUAGCAUUUCAGGUAGUAAAAAUGGCAUGAAUAAUUACACAAGGACAACACAUUCACAGUUUGGGAAAUAAUGAUUGGAGAAGUAUAGCUGGGGCUGUGUUGUCUGAUCAAACACAGGCAGCGCAGUUAGAUGUGUAUUUCAGAUAGACAAUGAAUAUGUUUUAGCAAGAGCAUGUCCCAAAUACUGCACGAGUUAUGCUUAUACUGAGAACAUUAUUUAUUCUUUAUCCUAGGUUCAGUUUUCAUUGGGCAUCCUCUAUUUUUGUUUGCUAAAUCUGGUGACCCUAGGCUGGAGUACUGUAGCAGAUGAGACUGUAUUACAGAGGCCUUUGAAAGUCAUUCUCAAACGUUUUGACUUCAGUCUCAUGGGGUGGUCUUGGAAGGUUUUUAAACUGAGAUGUGAUAUCAUCAGAUUUUCUGUAUUACUCAUGCUUCAUGGAGGAUGAGCUAGAAAGGGAGGAACUGGAAGCAAGGACUUUGAUCUAAAUAGAGAGAAAAGGGGGUUUUGAACCAGGGUAGAAACCAAGAGAUCCUCAGGCAACAAGCUCCAGAGAUGUUUUGCACAUGGAAGCCACAGGCUUUGCUGAGAAAGGCUGAGUGUUUGUGCUGGCAACCCUUUCUUGUUGCAAGCUCGGUAUGUUUGUCCUUAAAAGCUUAUGACCUUCCAAACUUUCACUCCCAAUAGUCUUGGGAUGAGAGCCCCUCUGGAGACUGGAAUUCUGUGCCAUUAAGCACAUGGCUCAGCGCUUAAUUUCUUUAAAAUAUAUACUCAGGCUAAAUGCUGAGCCAGAUAAUCCCAACCUGAUUAAGUGGCCAAGUCCACGCUCGGUACAGGUGGAAACAUUUAGUGCCAUAGCUUUAGAAGGGUCCAUGAAAAAGAAUGUCUUCCAUAUUUUAUUAGGAGAGAUUUAUUUUUCAAAAGAUGUAUUUUGGAAAGGGAAGGACAGUGUUUAUUUCUGAGAUUAAAUAUACCUCCAAGGUUAUAGAAGAUAUUUGCAUUUUGUAGACUUGUGACUGAGAACUCAUAGAAUCGUGUUCGAAGUCACUUUGUUACUUUCCUCCUGUUAAAGCUGGAGAAGCUGCAACCCAGAAGAGACGUGACCAGCUUGGGUGGCAGAACUUGGAUGUGGGUAGAGGAUUUGUGACAUCCAGUUAAAAUGCAAUAGGAAUUCUCUGAACAUUUAGCAUUUGGAAAUAGCACAAUUCUUUUUCCCUGUAACUCCCAAAUUACAAAGAAUUUCUCCUUGAGAUUUUUCAAUUUGAACGAGAGUAUUAACAUGAGUUUUUUAAAAGAGAGUUUCAUGAAAUUGUGUCAUUGAGAAUAACCACAUCUUAUUCCUAUUGACAGCCCCUUUGAAAGAGAUUGACACAGCCUGAUUACUGAAGAUUGUCAAAGUUUUUGAAACUUGGAAAAAGGAGAGUUUAUAUAAGUAGGAAAUAAUUGUUAUUUGUUGAAUGCAUUCUCAGCUGCAGGAUUCUGACAUUUUGGCAAAGGCAGGCUUUCCUUUCGAUAGAGCAACUUUCAGAGCCAAAGUUGUGUUUAAAAAGAAUAAAGCAAAAAGUACUAUAGUUACAUUU